UACGUAGGGUGCGAGCGUUAAUCGGAAUACUGGCGUAAGCGUGCGCAGGCGGUUUGUUAAGACAGAUGUGAAAUCCCCGGGCUUAACCUGGGAACUGCAUUUGUGACUGGCAAGCUAGAGUAUGGCAGAGGGGGUAGAAUUCCACGGUGUAGCAGUGAAAUGCGUAGAGAUGUGGAGGAAUACCGAUGGCGAAGGCAGCCCCUGGGCCAAUACUGACGCUCAUGCACGAAGCGUGGGAGC
rnacentral:rRNA from 1 species